rnacentral:tRNA from 1 species
UGGAGUUUAGCUCAGUGGUACAGCAUUUGUUUACAGCACAUGUGAGGUCCUAGGUUCAAUCCCCAGGAACACCAA